rnacentral:rRNA from 1 species
CCUACGGGGGGCUGCAGUGAGGAAUAUUGGUCAAUGGUCGGGAGACUGAACCAGCCAAGCCGCGUGAGGGAUGAAGGUACAGAGUAUCGUAAACCUCUUUUGUCAGGGAACAAAGGCGGGGACGUGACCCCGGAUGAGUGUACCUGAAGAAAAAGCAUCGGGAAACUCCGUGCCAGCAGCCGCGGUAAUACGGAGGAUGCGAGCGUUAUCCGGAUUUAUGGGGUUUAAAGGGUGCGCAGGCGGUGUGUUAAGUCAGUGUUAAAAGCCCGGGGCUCAACCCCUGCCCGCCGUUGAAACUGGCAGUCUCGAGUUGGAGAGAAGUAGGCGGAAUGCGCGGUGUAGCGGUGAAAUGCAUAGAUAUCGCGCAGAACUCUGAUUGCGAAGGCAGCAUGCCGGCUCCACACUGACGCUGAGGCACGAAAGCGUGGGUAUCGAACAGGAUUAGAUACCCCUGUAGUC